GGACUACCGGGGUAUCUAAUCCUGUUUGCUACCCACGCUUUCGUGUUUCAGCGUCAGUUACGGUCCAGAAAGCCGUCUACACCACCGGUGUUCCUCCUGAUAUCUACGCAUUUCACCGCUACACCAGGAAUUCCACUUUCCUCUCCCGCACUCUAGCCUCUCAGUAUUCGGCGCACCCUCCCGGUUGAGCCGGGAGAUUUCACACCAAACUUAAAAAGCCGCCUACACACCCUUUACGCCCAGUAACUCCGAACAACGCUUGCUGCCUACGUAUUACCGCGGCUGCUGGCAC
rnacentral:rRNA from 1 species